rnacentral:lncRNA from 1 species
UUCAUACAUAUCUACUAACACACAAUCUCUUUAUUAUGAAUAUGAAGUAGUGUUUUUUCCCCAGAUACACAAAGAACUGAUUCAUGAACAAGUGACUUAGGAGAUUCUGGGGGGAAACUAAGGACUGUUUGACUGCUGUCAGCACUUGGCAGAUUUUGAAAGCACAGAGGAAAAAAAGAAGUCCCUUCAGAGAGUCCAAGUAUGCAAACUUUAUCUCAUGCCAAACCUAGUCAAAAGCAUUAGAUACAUGGGAUCUAGAUCUCGUGAACAUGCCUUUUUUUUUUUUUUUUUUAUCCUACAUUUGCAUAACCACCACCAAGUAUUAAGACUGAUCGUAUCAUUAGAGAUUACUUCCGUGGCUCAGCAGAAGUUUGUAUUUCUAUCAGGGUCAGUGAGUUCACCCUGAGGUAUUAAAUACACCUACUUCGUGGUUUGUAGGAAAAUGCUCUCCAAAUGCUAAAAGUUCAUUUGGACCUUACUCCCUAUUGAAAGUCAUAAUUACAUGCAACAUCAAAACUGUCUACAGUAGAGGCAAAAGGGACCUGAGAUUUCAGGAUUUAAAACACUGACCAGAGCAGCCUGGUUCCUAAAAGAUCUUGUCUUCCUAAUAGCGCACACAGUAUGCAGCAUAAUGGAGUGGAAUUUUAACAGAGAUGAACUGUUUUCGAACUAUUUUAGUUUCACUUGCUCUUUUCCUCAGCAGCACAGCAUGACAGUGUGCAGCUAAUGCUCUGUGACAGAUUUCGCCUUCUCCCGGGAAGGAAGACCUCAUGGCCUAUUUCUCCUUAUGGCAAGUUUUAAGCAAAUUAAACCGAUAACCAUAUCUUGAAAAACAAUCCUGAGGACAGCAUUGCUGACAGGACCCCCAGAGGGACACAGUCCAUGCUAGUAGACCAACAUGACAAGUUACAGGCAGUGUGGUACUGCAGAGGGACAUGCUGUGGAUUGCACGCACUGAAGGAAGAGGCGAUAAGGGAGCCAGCCGCGGCCCCUGGGGAAUAUGGGAUGCCAAUUAAAUGGCAGCAAGAUCUCUGCCAGCCAGAGGGGUGCAGGCAGCCCUGAAGGGUCCUGGUCCGCACCUCAGGCAGCUGCAGGGAGGACAGCAUGGCCAGACAUGCUCCAUUGCUUUUCACCUUUGGGUGUGCAAUGAGCGUAUUUAUCUCACGGGUUUCCUGAAGUGCCUGUGAAUGACAGCCAGUGUAAAAAGCUGUCAAAAGAUGUGUCUGCAGUGCCCAGGUGACCCCAAACUUUAAUAGCGCUGCAGCUCUGGUCACUGCUUAGCCUCCUGAAGCCUGGUGAGGGCCCCUGUCCCAGCACCUAGCUCUGCCCUGCAGCAACAGAGGAACAACACUGCAACAGAUCACGGCUUUCCAACAUAGGGCUCAUGGGUAAUGUGCUGCCCCAGAAACUUCUAGUAGUGUUAUGCACUAGUGUUAAGUACACUAGUAGUGUUAGUAGUGUUAUAACUAGUGUUAGCAAUGGGGCAGAAAAAAAAAAAAAAGGAACAAAACACUAAAAUCAAGAGGUUAUGAUCAAGAGCAACAAAGAAUCAUAGAAUCAUAGAACAGUUAGGGUUGGAAAGGACCUUAAGAUCAUCUAGUUCCAACUCUACUGCCAUGGACAGGGACACCUCACACUAAACCAUGUGGCCCAAGGCUCUGUCCAACCUGGCCUUGAACAUGGCCAGGGAUGGAGCAUUCACAGCUUCUCUGAGCAACCUGUUCCAAUGCCUCACCACCCUCACAGUAAAGAGCUUCUGGCUUGUAUCUUCCUUAAACUUUCCCUGUUUGAGGUUAAACCAAUUACCCCUUGUCCUAUCACUACAGUCCCUGACGAAGAGUCCCUCUUUGGCAUCCCUGCAGGCCCCCUUCAGAUACUGCAAGGCUGCCAUGAGGUCUCCACGCAGCCUUCCCUUGUCUAGGCUGAAAAGACCCAAUUUUCUCAGCCUGUCUUCACACAGGAGGUGCUCCAGCCCCCUCAGCAUCCUCGUGGUCCUCCUCUGGACUUGCUCCAACAGCUCCAUGUCCUUUUUAUGUUGAGGACACCAGAACUGUACACAGUGCUCUAAGUGAGGUCUCACGAGAGCAGAGUAGGGGCAGGAUCACCUCCUUCGAUCUGCUGGUCACACUUCUUUUGGUGCAGCCCAGCAUACGGUUGGUUUCUGGUCUGCGAGCGCACACUGAAACCAGCUUAUGUUCAGAUUCUUGUCAACCAACACCCCAAAGUCCUUCUCCACAGGGCUGCUCUGAAUCUCUUCUCAGUCCAAGAAAGCGAAGCAUUUUUGACAGUGUCCUGGGUUCAGCUAUAGCAGUCAUUUUUCUCCUUCUUAGUAGCUGGUGCAGUGCUGUGUUUUUUAACUUUCAGCCUGGGAACAACGCUGAUAACACUGAUGUUUUUAGUUGUUGCUAAGUAAUGUUUAUUCCAACCAAGGACUUUCUCAGUCUCAUGCUUUGCCAGGGAGGAGCGGAAGCCGGGAGGAAGCAGAGACAGGACACCUGACCCAAACUAGCCAAAGGGGUAUUCCAUACCACAGCACGUCAUGCCCAGUAUAUAAACCGGGGGGAGUUACCUGGAAGGCCCAGAUCACUGCUCCGGUCAGGCUGGGUAUCGGUCGGCGGGUGGUGAGCAAUUGUAUCCUCUCCCCUUGUUAUUUCACUAAUCAUUAUUAUCACUGGUGGUAGCAGUAGUGGUUUUGUAUUAUACCUUAGUUGCGGGACUGUUCUUAUCUCAACCCGUGGGAGUUACAUUCUUCCGAUUCUCCUCCCCAUCCCUCCGGGAGCGGGGGGAGGAAGAAGGGGGGGAGUGAGCGAGCGGCUGUGUGGUUCUGAGUUACCGGCUGGGCUCAAACCACGACAGACAGCAAGGGGCUGAAGAGGCACCAGUGGUGCAAUGCUGGCCUCUGCAAGAUGCCAGGCACAGACCAAUUUGGCAAACUUGAAGUCAGUUAUUCAUAUGAGAUAAUAAAAUGCUAGAACAGGAUUAAAGUCCAGCAGGUUUUAAUCCUAUUUUGUACUAAAGACAAAGGGAAACCUUUAGCAAGAACCAUCUACUAUUGGAAAGUUGUUCAGGUGUCAUCUAGAGUUUAACAAGUGCCUAUCACUUUCUGUACAGCUUCUUGUUGGCUUAAAGUGAAGGUAGAUGAUAAUCUUUCCCACAAAGAACCAAAGGGACCUCUAAGGAUAUGCCACAUUAUAUCUUCAAGUAACAUGUUCAUUAUGUUCAUUUUUGUAAGUAUAAAAGAGGCAGGUGUACACAGAAAAGCAAGCCUGUUUCAGUGAAUAUAGUAUAUAAUGCAGAAAAACAACCACUUCUUGCACUUCUUUGAUGUGCAAUCGUAACAUAAAACUAUUCCUUUUGCUUUUUUAUCUUGAAAAUUAAAAUGCUGUAUCCUUUCUGUUAUUACAGCCCCAGUUCAAUGUAAUUUAAUAAAUACUAAAUUAUUAAUCAUGGCUUUAGUUUUUAAUUCUCUCAUACAUGAUAAACACUCAAAGACUCUUUCAUUUCUCCAUCUUAAUUGAUUAUUUCUAACAUCAAUAAGCAAAACGUAUUCUCACAUAAGUCUGAUUCCAGGACAAGCAGAGCAACAAAAGCUCACAUGAAUUUCUCUACUUUUCCCAGCAAUUCUGCAUUCAGAUAAGGAGCUAUGGAGAAAAUGGCAUCAAUGAGGAAGACAGGCAACAUUUCUGGCUUAGUCCUAGCUCCUUCUGAGGCCAGUGGUAAGAAAUGGCACUAGCCUCAGUCCCCUUAGGCUUUUGACUUUAUUUGCCUACAACAGAAGUUUUUCAUCCUGUGCUGCCCAGACAAAAGCC